UUUUUCGCCCCGCCCUUCAAAUGCGAAAGCGACUGCCUUCUUGGAACACUCAAAACUAGCAUCUGAUGAAUGCCUACAUUCAGUCCACAAAGCAACAAUGGUCCUAUUUUUCCCUCCACUUUAAUGAGACCAAUCACUCUUCUAAAAACUAAGCCAGUUCCUUCAAAUUUAACAUGUAAUGAUUAAAAAGAAAUGGCUGGGUUCCGUUCCAAGAUAGCUGAAUAGGAACAGCUCUGGUCUGCAGCUCCCAGAGUGAUCGACGCAGAAGACGGGUGAUUUCUGCAUUUCCAACUGAGGUACCUGAUUCAUCUCACUGGGACUGGUUGGACAGUGGGUGCAGCCCACGGAGGGCGAGGUGAAGCAUGACAGGGCGUCGCCUCACCCAGGAAGCGCAAUGGGUCGGGGGAUUUUCCUUUCCUAGCCAAGGGAAGCUGUGACAGACUGUACAUGGAAAAUCAGUAAACCCUGCCCAAACACUGUGCUUUUCCCCCAGUCUUAGCAAAUGGCAGACAAGGAGAUUGCUCUCCCAUGCCUGGCUCAGCGGGUCCCAUGC
rnacentral:antisense_RNA from 1 species